rnacentral:rRNA from 1 species
UACGAAGGGGGCUAGCGUUGCUCGGAAUCAUUGGGCGUAAAGGGUGCGUAGGCGGGUCUUUAAGUCAGAGGUGAAAUCCUGGAGCUCAACUCCAGAACUGCCUUUGAUACUGAGGAUCUUGAGUAUGGGAGAGGUGAGUGGAACUGCGAGUGUAGAGGUGAAAUUCGUAGAUAUUCGGAAGAACACCAGUGGCGAAGGCGGCUCACUGGACUGGUAUUGACGCUGAGGUGCGAAAGCGUGGGGAGCAAACAGG